GUGAUUAACAACUUUCCUUCCUAACACACCAACUAGAAUCUCUACAAGCAGAGCUGUGCUUCCUUGGUGCCAUGUACAGAUUUUGGCACAACCUACACUCUCCAAAAAAAGAGCACAGCUUCAUAUCUACAUUAUCACCUCCGUUUUUUUAUCAAGUUCAGCCAGGAUUCUGCUCCUGAUCACUCCACUGAAUGUGCUCAAGCCCAAUCACCAAUGACCCCAAAUACAGUGAUCACUUCUCAGCUGACAACGUGCCAUUCUGUCAUCUGUGACUUAAGUCAGCAGGGCUUUCAUUGCCGUGCAUAACAAUUGGAAAAAAAAGGAAGUACAAAGGAACUAUACUAGGACACGUGACCUCCCAGUUUGUAACCGUGUCACCAUUAUAUUCAGAAUUACAGAAUGCGUAAUUAUAUUUCAACCACAUCUCUAUCAGGAAAAAACACAGCAGGACUUCUUGUGAUACUCUC